UGUCCUCUUUGUUUCAAAGUUAAACUAUGAGUAAGUUCCUCUCAAAGUUAGUUUGGCCUACACCCAAGAAUGAACAAGGACAGGUUAGACUCUAAUCUAGAAAUCUAGAAGCAAGAUGGAGUUGGUUAGGGCAGAUUUUUUUUUUUUUUUGAGACAUAGUUUCGCUCUGUCAUCCAGGCUGGAGUGCAGCGGCGCGAACUCUGGCUCACUGCAAGCCCCGCCUCCCAGGUUCGCGCCAUUUUCCUGCCUCAGCCUCCUGAGUAGCUGGGUCUACAGGCGCCCGCCAUCACGCCCGGCUAAUUUUUUGUGCUUUUAAUAGAGAUGGGGUUUCACCGUGUUAGCCAGGAUGGUCUUGAUCUCCUGACCUCAUGAUCCGCCCUCCUCGGCCUCCCAAAGUGCUGGGAUUACAGGUGUGAGUCACCGCGCUCGGCCAGGGCAAAUCUCUUUAACUAUUAUAAUUUUCUCAGUUAUAAUCUUGCCAUGGUGGUUUCAAAAGGUGACUGGAAGAAAGCGGAAGGAAUGCUUGCCUCAUCUUGCAGACAUCAGGUGCAUUCCUGAGAAGCUACAGGUGCACAACCUUAGUCAGGCUCUGGGGAUACAGAAGUAACAAGAAGACCAGACCCUUGUUCCAAUGGAGGAGACAUCCUGGGACAUUGUCUAAAAACCAACCUGCUCCAAAUCUUAUCUCAGGCUCUGCUUUCAAAAGAACUCAAACCAGUAUUUCCUGUUUUUACACCGGACCCAAAAUUAACAAGAGGCAGUUUGAGAUUAUUGGAAGAGAUUUGUACUUCAAGUCGGGAAAGCUGGAUUCUAAUCACAGUCCUGCCACUGGAAUCCAAG
rnacentral:lncRNA from 10 species